CCUCCUUAAAAAAGAAAACGUUUAGUGUAAGCGUUCACACAUAUUACUUAUUUACCUAGAUCUCUUUUACGAGAGAUGACAAGGUGAGUUCUUUAAAAUUUUUAUAAGUUCAAUCAAGACACAUUAAAAAUGUUUAUAUGAAAGAUUUAUCUUUCUUUGUAAAUAUGAAGAAUGUGCAAAUUAACAGUUUAUAAAAGAUUUCCUUUUCCUUUAUCCGGAAAUCUUAUUAUGAACAUACUGCAAAGUAAUUUGGCGUUUUUGUGUUUUUUUAAAAACACAUAUAGUAGAUAGAAAUAUUUGAAAUAUUCAUCGAGUUAAUUGAUGUAAUAUGGUCAAGUAAUGAAGUGCAAACGGUGGAUGCCUUGGCAGCUAGAGGCGAUGAAGGACGUAGUAACUUGCGAUAAGCUUCGGGGAGUCGGUAACAGACUUUGAUCCGGAAAUUCCGA
rnacentral:misc_RNA from 1 species